CCAAAACCAAGCAAUGCCCACACGGCUUAUUCACCACACCCAUUUGAACAACGGAAAAAAAAAGUAAAGCAACGUACGGACACAAACAAAAGUUGUACCUAAGAUAGUAACAAAAAAAGACGAUGUAGUUAGUUACAAAGCUCACGCGCUAUGCCAACCCUAUUAUUAACUGUGUCGAACAUAAUCCUAAGGUUCUGUUGCUGGUAGUUGGCGAUGACGUUGAGCACCGAGUUUACGUUGUUGGGCGCCGCCGCCAUAGCCAGGCACGCCACAGCGCCGUAGGUGCUAUGUAUGAGGGUGUUCUCGUAGGGCAGAGUGAGAUCCAAUCCCGUGAACCGAAACUUGAUCAACGGUGCCAGCGUCUCGUAGGUCUUAACAAAGCACGUGUCGAAUGACCCUAUGCUAACGAACGGUCCCUUCACCUGGUUUCUGAACUCAUCCCUGAUUGCGUUGUAAACCGGUUGCACGAAUCGGGUUAUGACCGUGCCCGAAUCUAUAAUGGUUCCAGAUCCUCUGUUCGGGUCAAACGCGAGAUACUCGGUGGGUAAUGGGACCUGAACCCGGCCCACUGUCACUCCAGUUAGGUUCACGUAGUAGAGUGAUGGCCGCCGCGGGUUUCGGAGAAGUGGGGUGGAGCGGAUUCUUCUGGGCUGACCUGUGCGCCCGAGUAUCAGGGACCCGGAAAAGUAAAAGGAUUUGAAACUGGGAAGACAGUAGGAGAAGACGCCGGAGUAGAGUGACCAAGAUUGGGUAAGUAGGGACAAGGGCCCGCGGCCCAAGCCCAGAAGGCCUUGGGCCGGGAUUGUGCCUCCGGAGACGGAGUUGACGCACCCGAAAGCGUAGCUAGGGAUAGUGUCUACGGCCAAACUGAGGGAAUCUUGCACGAUCGUGGCGGAGAAUGUGGAGCCUGCGUUACGAAAAAAUGUGAUUGGUUGAAGAUGCAAGCUCUGGAACCGGUGUUGGGGCAAGGGAGGGCUCCACGAGCCUGGGCGCAACGCGGGGAGUAGCAAGCCACGGGGCCGCCAUAAGUGGUGGAGGCUUGCGGCGAGUAGGUGGUGGAGGAAGAGCAACCGAUGCAGCCACUACACGGGACCCAAGCCUCAUCGGUGCUGGUAUCCAGGACCAUAAAAAAGAGUUGACCCGGAGUGCCGAGUUUGACUCGGACCACGUAGUUACCGAUGUCGAAGGCCUGCCCCGAAGCUAUUGGGGCGGCGGAAACGCGCUUUUUCCUGAGCGACGAGUCGAGGCCAAACAGGUACUCAACCCUGAGAGGGUCCUUGGAGGCCAUGUCGAUGAUGGUGGUAUCCCAGGAGUCUGAGAGAUUCUUGAAAGGGGAGCAGUUGCCGUAGAUGGGAAUGACGAUGAUACCGGAGUCGUCACUUUGAGAGGCGCAUGGGUCGGUGGCAAUGGCUACGGUGGAGAAGUAGAGUAACAGUGUUGCAGUGAAAAGAAUUAGGGUGGCGGUGAUGGUGUUAACACCCAUAAUUGGUGUGUGUUGAUGGAGGAGGAAAAGAAUAUCGUAGUAUAGUACUUGUUUA
rnacentral:sRNA from 1 species